rnacentral:lncRNA from 1 species
UAAACUUCUGCGCUAUUGCAGAAUGACUGUUGGUUUCUGCCUCAUAAAAUCUAAAUGUAGCUUUUUUUCAAAGAGUUAAUCAAAGUACACCACCAAGAAUAAGUCAUUUCAAGAAUUAUCAUCAAUGAACUCGUUUGAACCCAGCCCAGCUGCUGUGUGCAGCUUCAAACAGAUGAACCACUUUUUCCAGGCACUUUCCCUUCUUCAUCCAUCACAACUUUCUGGAAAAUGGGAGAGUAACUGUUAUAGCUACAGAGAAGUCUGCAGGAAAGUUGGCACCAGAGUUGCGGACCAUGAGACAACAGAGGUGACCUGGCACCCGCCAAGCCCCAGAGGCCACACCAGAGUUUCCACUGCAACAUUGCAACUUUGGUUGUAUUAA